CAAAACUCCAAAGUGAACCGAUUGUGUCCGUAAGUAAAUCAUGCAUUUUAAUUCAUUACAGAUUGAGAAGUGUCCCAUGAUGCUGCGUGGGCAGACCUCAAUCUUGAGGGUAGCGCAGACAUGUUCCUGUGGCUUUCACCCUCGGCAGUCUGUGAGUAGUCCUGCAGCAUCCAGGCCAGCUACCUCAGCCUCCACUUCAGCUGCCUCAGCCUCCACCUCAGCGGCGCCUGUACAGAGCCCUGGGAGGCCUGCAUUGACACUGUCAAUGUUUGAUAAAGCGCGGUUCGGCGGGACUUUGUCUGCGGCAGCCAGGCCUAAUGUCAACGUGACCAGGAAGCAUGUCGAGGUAAUACAUGUACCUUUAGCUGUGCCUGAUGCCUAAGAAUACAGCCAUUAAGCCAUACACUAUCCUUGUUUUGUAAACUGACUUCAUCAGGU
rnacentral:lncRNA from 1 species